rnacentral:rRNA from 1 species
UCCUACGGGAGGCAGCAGUGGGGAAUAUUGGACAAUGGGGGCAACCCUGAUCCAGCAAUGCCGCGUGCGUGAAGAAGGCCUUAGGGUUGUAAAGCGCUUUCGCCCGCGACGAUGAUGACGGUAGCGGGAGAAGAAGCCCCGGCUAACUCCGUGCCAGCAGCCGCGGUAAUACGGAGGGGGCGAGCGUUGUUCGGAAUUACUGGGCGUAAAGGGCGCGUAGGCGGCCUUGUCAGUCAGGCGUGAAAGCCCCGGGCUCAACCUGGGAUGUGCGCUUGAUACUGCAAGGCUUGAGACCGGAAGAGGAUGGCGGAAUACCCAGUGUAGAGGUGAAAUUCGUAGAUAUUGGGUGGAACACCAGUGGCGAAGGCGGCCAUCUGGUCCGGAUCUGACGCUGAGGCGCGAAAGCGUGGGGAGCAAACAGGAUUAGAUACCCUGGUAGUCCACGCCGUAAACGAUGUGCGCUAGACGUCGGGAGUUAGGCUCUCGGUGUCGCAGCUAACGCAUUAAGC